CAGCAUUUUCUUCAAGCAAAUAUGCUUUUACCAUUAAAAAUAAAAUUUCCUAAAUAGCAAGACACCAUUCAGAAAAGCAUGUCAAUUUUGGCAGGGCACAGUGGCUCACGCCUGUAAUCCCAGCACUAUGGGAGACCAAGGUGGUGGAUCACUUGAGGUCAGGAGUUCGAGACCAGAAUUUUUUUUUUCUUUUUUUUUUCUGAGAUAGGGUCUAGUUCUGCCUAGGCUGGAGU
rnacentral:lncRNA from 1 species